UCUUCCGGUGGCUGAUGUGGGAUCGGACUGUUGAGUUGGCACUUUUCACAUUUCUUGACAUACUUUGUAGCUUCCUUGAAAAUUGUAGGCCAAUAGUAUCCUUGUCGAAGUACUUUGUAAGCCAAAGAUUUAGCAGCCAUAUGAUCACCGCAAAUACCCUCGUGAACUUCCCGAAGAGCAUACUCCGCCUCGGAUGGGAC
rnacentral:lncRNA from 1 species